UACGUAGGGCGCAAGCGUUGUCCGGAAUUAUUGGGCGUAAAGAGCUCGUAGGCGGCUUGUCACGUCGGGUGUGAAAGCCCGGGGCUUAACCCCGGGUCUGCAUUCGAUACGGGCUAGCUAGAGUGUGGUAGGGGAGAUCGGAAUUCCUGGUGUAGCGGUGAAAUGCGCAGAUAUCAGGAGGAACACCGGUGGCGAAGGCGGAUCUCUGGGCCAUUACUGACGCUGGAGGAGCGAAAGCGUGGGGAGCGAACAGG
rnacentral:rRNA from 1 species